UGGGGAAUUUUGGACAAUGGGCGCAAGCCUGAUCCAGCCAUGCCGCGUGCGGGAAGAAGGCCUUCGGGUUGUAAACCGCUUUUGUCAGGGAAGAAAUCUUCUGAGUUAAUACCUCGGGAGGAUGACGGUACCUGAAGAAUAAGCACCGGCUAACUACGUGCCGGCAGCCGCGGUAAUACGUAGGGUGCAAGCGUUAAUCGGAAUUACUGGGCGUAAAGCGUGCGCAGGCGGUUUUGUAAGACAGAGGUGAAAUCCCCGGGCUCAACCUGGGAACUGCCUUUGUGACUGCAAGGCUUGAGUGCGGCAGAGGGGGGAUGGAAUUCCGCGUGUAGCAGUGAAAUGCGUAGAUAUGCGGAGGAACACCGAUGGCGAAGGCAAUCCCCUGGGCCUGCACUGACGCUCAUGCACGAAAGCGUGGGGAGCAAACAGGAUUAGAUACCCUGGUAGUCCACGCCCUAAACGAUGUCAACUGGUUGUUGGGAAGGUUCCUUCUCAGUAACGUAGCUAACGCGUGAAGUUGACCGCCUGGGGAGUACGGCCGCAAGGUUGAAACUUAAAGGAAUUGACGGGGU
rnacentral:rRNA from 1 species